GUCGAACGAGCGAGAGAGAGCUUGCUUUCUCAAGCGAGUGGCGAACGGGUGAGUAACGCGUGAGGAACCUGCCUCAAAGAGGGGGACAACAGUUGGAAACGACUGCUAAUACCGCAUAAGCCCACGGCUCGGCAUCGAGCAGAGGGAAAAGGAGCAAUCCGCUUUGAGAUGGCCUCGCGUCCGAUUAGCUAGUUGGUGAGGUAAUGGCCCACCAAGGCAACGAUCGGUAGCCGGACUGAGAGGUUGAACGGCCACAUUGGGACUGAGACACGGCCCAGACUCCUACGGGAGGCAGCAGUGGGGAAUAUUGCACAAUGGGGGAAACCCUGAUGCAGCGACGCCGCGUGGAGGAAGAAGGUCUUCGGAUUGUAAACUCCUGUUGUUGAGGAAGAUAAUGACGGUACACAACAAGGAAGCGACGGCUAACUACGUGCCAGCAGCCGCGGUAAAACGUAGGUCACAAGCGUUGUCCGGAAUUACUGGGUGUAAAGGGAGCGCAGGCGGGAAGACAAGUUGGAAGUGAAAUCUAUGGGCUCAACCCAUAAACUGCUUUCAAAACUGUUUUUCUUGAGUAGUGCAGAGGUAGGCGGAAUUCCCGGUGUAGCGGUGGAAUGCGUAGAUAUCGGGAGGAACACCAGUGGCGAAGGCGGCCUACUGGGCACCAACUGACGCUGAGGCUCGAAAGUGUGGGUAGCAAACAGGAUUAGAUACCCUGGUAGUCCACACCGUAAACGAUGAUUACUA
rnacentral:rRNA from 1 species